UUGGGGGCUGUUGUAAGCGAUUUUUGGCCACUGCUAAAUCACCGAAGUUGCUUUCGUCUGCAGUCAUUUGCUUAAAGUUAGUGAACGUGCUAAUAUCGUGUGCGUCCUGUUGUAUCGCUGCUGUUGCCGUUGUGCCGACGAGUUGAUUGUGCUUUGAUAUUUGUGACCUUCUCCACCCGCCACGUACACAGCAACGACAAGAUAAAAAGAUAAUUCCACGACCUGCAAUAGCCUACAAU